rnacentral:rRNA from 1 species
GUGGGGAAUAUUGGUCAAUGGGGGCAACCCUGAUCCAGCCAUUCCGCGUGAGUGAAGAAGGCCUUCGGGUUGUAAAGCUCUUUCGUCAGGAACGAAACGGCGGGCUCUAACAUAGCCUGUUAAUGACGGUACCUGAAGAAGAAGCACCGGCUAACUACGUGCCAGCAGCCGCGGUAAUACGUAGGGUGCGAGCGUUAAUCGGAAUUACUGGGCGUAAAGCGUGCGCAGGCGGAUUGUUAAGCAAGACGUGAAAUCCCCGGGCUUAACCUGGGAAUGGCGUUUUGAACUGACAGUCUAGAGUGCGUCAGAGGGGGGUGGAAUUCCACGUGUAGCAGUGAAAUGCGUAGAGAUGUGGAGGAACACCGAUGGCGAAGGCAGCCCCCUGGGAUGACACUGACGCUCAUGUACGAAAGCGUGGGUAGCAAACAGGAUUAGAUACCCUAGUAGUCC